CUGAUAUUGCCUCAGAGAGCGUGCAAAAUGUACUGAAGGUUGUGUUCCUUUCUAUUUACUUUGUGAAAAUAAAUUGAUUGCCUCUCUGUGGAGAAACAACGUCUAAUGAUAUUCUCCAUGAGUGGAUUCUCACAUUGUCCCGAGACGCUUUUGAGAAAGACUUCUUCUAGCAGACACUGUCACAUGACUCUGUGUGGAGGGAGAUGUGGCCAGCGCUGCCUGCAGGAGCAAAGGUCACCGCCUCUGUCCAUAAUGCUGAGGACAGAGCACCAUCAGACGGGGGCGUGGCACUGCUGACGGCGAGACACAGCUGGCAGUAAGCGGCCGGGAGUAGGAGAGAGGAUACGGACGUGACUUUUCAGUCACGUUCUGCUGGAGAAAGAGUUGGACACAAAUCUAU